rnacentral:SRP_RNA from 15 species
GGCCAGGACGGGCAGGCAGCAUCGCCCAGGACGUCGCGGGUGUGUGGUGCCG